rnacentral:rRNA from 1 species
UACGUAGGGAGCAAGCGUUGUCCGGAAUCAUUGGGCGUAAAGCGCGCGUAGGCGGCCCUGUAAGUCCGUUGUGAAAGUCAAAGGCUCAACCUUUGAAAGCCGAUGGAUACUGCAGGGCUAGAGUCCGGAAGAGGCGAGUGGAAUUCCUGGUGUAGCGGUGAAAUGCGUAGAUAUCAGGAGGAACACCUGUGGCGAAAGCGGCUCACUGGACCACAACUGACGCUGAGGCGCGAAAGCUAGGGGAGCAAACAGG